rnacentral:rRNA from 1 species
UACGGGGGGAGCAAGCGUUGUUCGGAUUUACUGGGCGUAAAGGGCGCGUAGGCGGCCAACUAAGUCAGACGUGAAAUCCCUCGGCUUAACCGGGGAACUGCAUCUGAUACUGGAUGGCUUGAGAUUGGGAGAGGGAUGCGGAAUUCCAGGUGUAGCGGUGAAAUGCGUAGAUAUCUGGAGGAACACCGGUGGCGAAGGCGGCAUCCUGGACCGGCAUUGACGCUGAUGAGCGAAAGCUAGGGGAGCAAACGGG